AUUGAACGCUGGCGGCAUGCCUUACACAUGCAAGUCGAACGGUAACAGGUCUUCGGAUGCUGACGAGUGGCGAACGGGUGAGUAAUACAUCGGAACGUGCCUAGUAGUGGGGGAUAGCUACUCGAAAGAGUGGCUAAUACCGCAUUAGAUCUACGGAUGAAAGCAGGGGAUCGCAAGACCCUGUGCUACUAGAGCGGCCGAUGGCAGAUUAGGUAGUUGGUGGGAUAAAAGCUUACCAAGCCGACGAUCUGUAGCUGGUCUGAGAGGACGAUCAGCCACACUGGGACUGAGAAACGGCCCAGACUCCUACGGGAGGCAGCAGUGGGGAAUUUUGGACAAUGGGCGCAAGCCUGAUCCAGCAAUGCCGCGUGCAGGAUGAAGGCCUUCGGGUUGUAAACUGCUUUUGUACGGAACGAAAAGCCCCGGGUUAAUACCCUGGGGUCAUGACGGUACCGUAAGAAUAAGCACCGGCUAACUACGUGCCAGCCGCCGCAGUAA
rnacentral:rRNA from 1 species